AUCUUGUUAAAAUGCAGAUUCUGACUCAGUGGGUCUGCCUAGGGCCUGAGAGUCUACAUUUUUAACAAGUUC
rnacentral:miRNA from 1 species